rnacentral:misc_RNA from 1 species
CUCUACACAACAUCCCACAGAG